rnacentral:tRNA from 4 species
GGCCUUAUAUUCAAUUAUGAUUUUAGACUGCAAUUCUAGGGGUGUAAAUGACCUUUACUAAGGCCU